UAUUAAAAGUUUCAUUAAUUUCUACUAUUAAGAAUUGGUCCUUGAAUGUCAGAAUGAGGUACACAUGGCAUGACAUGUGUAACUGUCUAGUUAUUUUGUUAAUGUCAGUUUUUAAUAAUAGAAACGGAUGAAACUUUUAACA
rfam:Gossypium raimondii Chr10_contig_1376, whole genome shotgun sequence.